ensembl:lncRNA
CUGUCACAUGGCAACAAAACGUUAUGGGAUAUUGGUGGGCAGGUUCAGCUUCUACUGCCAUACCACCAACAUCUGCCUCUGCCAUUGUGGGCCAAGGUAAUAAAAUAGGAGGCAUUACUUUUGGAGUAGUCCAUGGAGAUUAAAAUGCCAGAGAGAACUUUGUUGUCUACUCUAAGGCAUGACGUUCAGAUAUUCAAAGCACCACCUGUAUUAGAGUGGUUACUAGAAAGCAAACUGCCAGGCAGUCCUCCCUCAGACUGUUCCAUCAAGAUGACUCUGCUGCAUGCUGACAGCUUCAUGCAGAUAUUUGUGCAAGUGCUGUGCAAGAAGUCUGAGACUCAAGGUCUGCUCCAGCUGUCAAGUACAUCUUGACAAGUUCAAGUCUGUGAGCUGCUACAGUACAGAAGGGAAUGAGUGAGAUGAGAAGUUAGGAGUCUCUGAAAAGAUUCACUGGGAGGCAAGUGUUAGAGCAAGAAUAUUUUUGAAUCCAGACAGUUCUACUACUUAUGAAGAAAAAGACUUUCUGCACAAAACUACAUACUAGAAUUCUAUCUUAAGAUUCGGAGAGGUCAGAAAUAAUAUCCAUGGUCAAAAGUAAAACAUUCCUGUUGUCCAGGAGCACCAGUUAUAUUACAUGACUAACUGCACACUACAAACAGCUGUGGAUAGCUGAAGUUAAUUGUAUAAAAUAACCCAUAGAAUCAUCAAAUGAUCCAAGAGCUGAGGUCCCUGAUCAGACCUUUUGCUGUUGCUUGGGACACUUGUCAGCUCUGGAAGUAGAAGGAGGACAAGAGCAGGGAUUCAAGGAUGAAAUGGAGCAGGAAACUAGUGCGACUGCAAGAGAGAGGAAGCUCAGACGGGGCAGGAAUAGCAAGCCGUAGCAUGCCAAAGGCUCAAGGGAAAUAUUGCAAGUUUCCAUCCAGCAAACAUGGAGUCAGAAGAGACUUUUGCUGGUGGCCUGAAAGCUGGGAUCAGUGGUUGGUACAGCAAGUGGUUGUUCUACUGUUCAAACUGGCUUCAGCAAACCAGAGAAAUAAGCUGGUAGGAAUCCUGUGAAGUUAAGGAAAAGGAAAACAGACUGUUGACCCACAGCUGGAAAGGAGCUUGGAAGAAGAUCCAAGUGUGGGCACCAAAUGAAUGCUGAGCCACCAAGCACCCUGGCAACAGAGACCGUCGGGCUCCUGGGCUGCAGUAAGCGGAGCUUUGUGAGUAGGUUGAGGGAGGUGACCCUUCUGCUUUCCUUGGCACUCCACAUCUAUUCUGUGUACAGUUCUCAGCUCCCCCUGUCCAGCAAAGGGUGACAACAGUGCUUAAAGACUUGGAAGUUCCUGACACAGAGGAGAUGGACUGCUUAGUUUGGGGAAGAGAAGCUGUAGGAGUAUCUUAUCUGUAUGUAUGAAUACCUGAUGGGAGGGAGUAAAGAAAAAGGAGCCAGACUGUUCUAAGAAGACAGCCUCUUCUAAGAAGUCUCUUCUCUCUGAGACAAUGGACACAAAUUAAAAUACAGGAAAUUCCAGUUAAACAUAAGAAAAAUCAUCCUAAUUAGUUUCAGGUCACCCAAAAGUGAUUGAGAAAAUGUGAAAAGACUGAAAUCAAACCCCACAGUGAUUUAUCAUCCUAAUGACUGUGGAUGGUUUCAGAAAUUGGACUUGAGAGUGCCUUAUCUUAAAUAUGGAAGUUGGAUGGUGCACAAGAGUUUGGUGAGAGCACUAAGUCCCUAUCAUCACAGUAAGUGCACUCAGAAAUCUACUUUCGUGACAUUUUUUGUUUGGUUGGUUGGUUAUUGGCCCUUACUUGAAGUCAGGAGUAGAGAUCUGUUUUUCUGCUGUUCUGGUUUUUUUUUUUUUAGCAUUCUUGUUUUAAUAGGGCUGUUGAAGGUGUCUUACAAAUAAUGGCCUUCUGAGAAUUCUGUCUCAGUUAAUUCUACUUGAGAUAUCAGUGAAAUUGUAGGUACAGAGAGUGCAGUGAAAACAAAGACAGACAUUGACAUGGACUAAACUGUUGCAGGUUACAAAAUGAGUUUGGAAAUAUAUCCACAAAGAGAUGACAGUCAAGCUAGAAGAUUUCUAAACUACUUAGAUAGCUGCAAGAUUGCUUUCAUCUCUUCUCUUAUCUGUUUUCAGACAUACUGUCUGAAGAUGAAGCCUUGUAGAGAAACUUGUUCUGAGCAUUCUUAAGAGAGCAGCAGAGCUAAGGAAAUGAGCUUUUCUUAAAGUGAUUUACUAUUACAGUUGCCUGAUUGUCAGUAUGGAUCUGUAAAUUUGUAAGCUUUGGCAUAAACUAUGAUGUUUCCUCCUAAGCAGCAGCAGCUGACAACAUUGCCCGACUUUGUUAGUCAAUAGUUCAUGAAAUUAGAGAAUUCAAAGACUCCUAAAUGUUAUUAGGUGAUUUUCAAAGGGCUGAGUGUUAUUAGUCUCACUUAAGAAAUCACAUAUGUUUACAAGUGCUUUCUUCUUAUUGCCUAAGACAACUGUCUGGAACUUUGUGAAUUCCAUUCUGCAGUACAUAUAUCUAUUAUAUGCUGUGCUACUUCACAUACCUAAGGAACCUAAAUAUACUCAUACACUUAGGGUUGCCUUAAUAUCUUUGAUGAAUUUUCUGAAAAACAAAUGCCUAUAGAAGUGUCUAAUGAGUGUUAUUUAAUAAACUAGUCCGC